rnacentral:rRNA from 1 species
CCCUUAGAUGUUCUGGGCCGCACGCGCGCUACACUGAUUCAUGCAACAAGUUUUGUCCUUGGCUGAUAGGCCUGGGUAAUCUUUGAACGUGAAUCGUGAUAGGGAUAGAUGAUUGCAAUUAUUCAUCUUCAACGAGGAAUUCCUAGUAAACGCAAGUCAUCAGCUUGCAUUGAUUACGUCCCUGCCCUUUGUACACACCGCCCGUCGCACCUACCGAUUGAAUGGUCCGGUGAAAUCUUCGGAUCUGAGAGAUGUCUGAUUAAUUUCGGACGCCUUUUGGAAAAGUUGUUUAAACCUUACCAUUUAGAGGAAGGUGAAGUCGUAACA